rnacentral:rRNA from 1 species
UACGAAGGGGCUAGCGUUGUUCGGAAUUACUGGGCGUAAAGCGCACGUAGGCGGAUAUUUAAGUCAGGGGUGAAAUCCCAGAGCUCAACUCUGGAACUGCCUUUGAUACUGGGUAUCUUGAGUAUGGAAGAGGUAAGUGGAAUUGCGAGUGUAGAGGUGAAAUUCGUAGAUAUUCGCAGGAACACCAGUGGCGAAGGCGGCUUACUGGUCCAUUACGUGAACGCUGAG